UACGUAGGGGGCGAGCGUUGUCCGGAUUUAUUGGGCGUAAAGAGCGUGUAGGCGGUUCGGUAAGUCUGUCGUGAAAUCCUGAGGCUCAACCUCGGGCGUGCGAUGGAUACUGCCGGGCUAGAGGGUGGUAGAGGCGAGUGGAAUUCCCGGUGUAGCGGUGAAAUGCGCAGAUAUCAGGAGGAACACCGGUGGCGAAGGCGGUUCUCUGGGCAUUACCUGACGCUGAGGAGCGAAAGUGUGGGGAGCGAACAGG
rnacentral:rRNA from 1 species